rnacentral:lncRNA from 1 species
AUAUCAAACGGAGUCCAAACGGAAUGAAACCUUCGGGAACGUGAUUUUCUCAACGAAUAAGACCCAGGAGACUUGGACCCUACGUCAAGGCACAAGAGAGGAGGCCACGAGGUAGGGGGAGCGCCUGCCUACCCCAGGCGCGCACUCCACCCUCGUGCGCCCCCUGUUGCUCCACCGACGUACUCCUUCCUCCUAUAUAUAUCCACGUACCCCCAAAUGAUCAAAUACGGAGCAAAAACCCUAAUUCCACUGCCGUAACUUUCUGUAUCCACGAGAUCCCAUCUUGGGACCUAUUCCUAAGCUUCGCCGGAGGGGGCAUCGAUCACGGAGGGCUUCUACAUCAACACCAUAGCCCUUCCUAUGAAGUGUGAGUAGUUUACCUCAGACCUACGGGUCCAUAGUUAGUAUCUAGAAGGCUUCUUCUCUCUUUUUGGAUCUCAAUACAAUGUUCUCCCACUCUCUUGUGGAGAACUAUUCGAUGUAAUCUUCUUUUUGCGGUGUGUUUGUUGAGACCGAUGAAUUGUGGGUUUAUGAUCAAGUCUAUCUAUGAAUAAUAUUUGAAUCUUCUCUGAAUUCUUUUAUGUAUGAUUGGUUAUCUUUGCAAGUCUCUUCGAAUUAUCAGUUUGGUUUGGCGUACUAGGAGAAGUGCUUAGCUUUGGGUUCAAUCUUGUGGUGUCCUUUCCCAUUGACAGUAGGGGCAGCAAGGCACAUAUUGUAUUGUUGCCAUCGAGGAUAACAAGACGGGGUUUUCUUCAUAUUGCAUGAGUCUAUCCCUCUACAUCAUGUCAUCUUGCUUAAGGCGUUACUCUGUUUUUAACUUAAUACUCGAGAUGCAUGCUGGAUAGCGGUCGAUGAGUGGAGUAAUAGUAGUAGAUGCAGGCAGGAGUCGGUCUACUUGUCUCGGACAUGAUGCCUAUAUACAUGAUCAUACCUAGAUAUUCUCAUAUCUAUGCUCAAUUCUGUCAAUUGCUCAAAUGUAAUUUGUUCACCCACCGUAGAAUACUUAUGCUCUCGAGAAAAGCCACUAGUGAAACCUAUGGCCCCCGGGUCUAUCUUUAUCAUAUUAAUCUCCUACUACUUGGUUAUUUCCUUUGCUAUUUACUUUGCCUUUAUUUUACUUUGCAUCUUUAUCACAAUAAUACCAAAAAUAUUAUCUUUAUCAUAUCUAUCAGAUCUCACUCUCGUAUGUGGCCUUAUAAGGAUUAACAACCCCUAUUUGCGUUGGUUGCGAGGAUUUAUUUGUUUUGUGCAGGUACGAGGGACUCGUGCGUAGCCUCCUACUGGAUUGAUACCUUGGCUCUCAAAAACUGAGGGAAAUACUUACGCUACUUUGCUGCAUCAUCCCUUCCUCUUCGGGGAAAACCAAUGCAGUGCUCAAGAGGUAGUAAGAAGGAUUUCUGGCGCCGUUGCCGGGGAGGUCUUCGCAAAAGUCAACAUACCAAGUACCCAUCACAUACCCUUAUCUCCCGCAUUACAUUAUUUGCCAUUUGCCUCUUGUUUUCCUCUCCCCCACUUCACCCUUGCCGUUUUAUUCGCCCUCUCUCUCUCUCUCUAUCCUCCCUCUCUAUUUGCCUCUUUUUGCCCAUUUGCUUUUUGUUUGCUUGUGUGUUAGUUUGUUUGCUUGUCGUUAUGGCUAGUCCUUUACCUUCUGUCUCUAUGUCUGAAAUUGGGGAAACUAUGGUCGAUAAUAUUUCUGAUGCUCCUACUAAAGAACCCACUAUCUCACAUACAAAAAGAUUUCGUGUUGGUAGUGGUAAUAUUAUUGGAAAAGGAGUUAUUCAAGAUUUCUUUACUUGUGCCGGUGCUUUACCCUCUAUGGGUAGUUCUAUCCUUCAUAGAACUAGUAGUCUUGCGGAUGCUACUGCCAUGCUUGCAGUUGAACUUGAAAGACAAUUCAUGCACAUGCAUCCUUCCAUACAAAGGAUUUUUCUGGAAUUUUCUAAUAUUGAGCAUUCUUCUGUUAAGCGUGCCGCUAUUAUUUUUUGGCUCAUGAGUUUAGAUUCAAAAUAAAAGAGGCCAAAGAAAUCUUUGCACAUUAUAGGGUGGACGCUUGCCGUCCUCCCAUAGAGGCUGUCAUCUUUGAUCAAGAAGAAAUAAUGUGUUUUCAAUCUCUAGACUAUAUUGCUUUCAAUAAAAAUCUUAGAAAAGGGUUCCUACCAAUGUUCUAGUUGAUAGAAUUUCUGAACUUAAUGAUGAUUUGGCUAUUCAAAAUAAUGAACUAGGAUAUUCUCUUGAAUAUAGGCUCACAAAGUUCUGUCAAUAGAAUGCUUAUAAUUAUGAAUUGGUUGUGCAAUAUGAAGGACCAAAGGAGGAACCUAUACCUCCCAAGGUUGAUCUUGGGGACUUUUGUCCCAUUAAAUUUAGCCCUUUUGAUUACUUUUGCUUGCCUCAAAUAAAACUUUCUGCUGAACAUUGAGAAUAUGAAAUUAGUUUUAAUAAUCUAUCUUACUAUUAUGGCAAUACCUAGAUCUAUUCUUGCUUGUUAUGCCUAGCUAGGGGUGUUAAACGAUAGCGCUUGUUGGGAGGCAACCCAAUUUUAUUUUUAUUCCUUGCUUUUUGCUCCUGUUUAGUAAUAAAUAAAUUAUCUAGCCUCUGUUUUGGUUGUGUUUUUUGUGUUUAAUUAGUGUUUGUGCCAAGUAGAACCGUUGGGAAGACUUGGGGAAAGUCUUGUUGAACUUGCUGUAAAAAACAGAAACUUUAACGCUCACGAGAACUGUUGCAAUUUUUAUUUGGAAGGUGCUAUUUAGUUAAUUAUUUCUUCAUAUGAUUAAUAGAUAAAUUCCUCACAUCCAGAAAUUUAUUUUAGAAUUUUUGGGGUUCCAGAUCUUGUGCUAGCUACAUAUUACUACAGACUGGCCUGUUUUUGACAGAUUCUGUUUUUCGUGUGUUGUUUGCUUAUUUUGAUGAAUCUAUGGCUAGUAAAAUAGUUUAUAAACCAUAGAGAAGUUGGAAUACAGUAGGUAUAACACCAAUAUAAAUAAAGAAUGAGUUCAUUACAGUACCUUGAAGUGGUAAUUUGUUUUCUUUCGCUAACGGAGCUCACGAGAUUUUCUACUUUAAGUUUUGUGUUGUGAAGUUUUCAAGUUUUGGGUAAAGAUUUGAUGGAUUAUGGAAAAAGGAGUGGCAAGAGCGUAAUCUUGGGGAUUCCAAUGGCACCCCCAAGAUAAUCUAAGGACACCUAAAAGCCAAAGCUUGGGGAUGCCAUGGAAGGCAUCCCCUCUUUCGUCUACUUCUAUCGCUAACUUUACUUGGAGCUAUAUUUUUAUUCGCCACAUGAUAUGUGUUUUGCUUGGAGCGUCUUGUAUGAUUUGAGUCUUUUCUUGUUAGUUUACCACAAUCAUCCUUGCUGUACACACCUUUUGAGAGAGCCAUACAUGAUUUGGAAUUUGUUAGAAUACUCUAUGUGCUUCGCUUAUAUCUUUUGAGUUAUAUAAUUUUGCUCUAGUACUUCACUUAUAUCUUUUAGAGCAUGGUGGUGGAUUUGUUUUAUAGAAACUAUUGAUCUCUCAUGCUUCACUUAGAUUAUUUUGAGAGUUUUAAAUAGCAUGGUAAUUUUCUUAAAAUCCUGAUAUGCUUGGUACACAAGAUUAAGAAUAGAACUUUCUUAUGAGUGUGUUGAAUACUAUGAGAAGUUCGAUGCUUGAUAAUUGUUUUGAGAUAUGAAGAUGGUGAUAUUAAAGUUGUGCUAGUUGAGUAGUUGUGAAUUUGAUAAAUACUUGUGUUGAAGCUUGUGAUUCCCGUAGCAUGCACGUAUGGUGAACCGUUAUGUGAUGAAGUCGGAGCAUGAUUUAUUUAUUGAUUGUCUUCCUUAUGAGUGGUGGUCGGGGACGUGCGAUGGUCUUUUCCUACCAAUCUAUCCCCCUAGGAGCAUGCAUGUAAUACUUUGUUUUGAUAACUUGUAGAUUUUUGCAAUAAGUAUAUGAGUUCUUUAUGACUAAUGUUGAGUCCAUGGAUUAUACGCACUCUCACCCUUCCACCUUUGCUAGCCUCUCUAAUACCGCGCACCUUUUCGCCGGUAUCAUACACCCACCAUAUACCUUCCUCAAAACAGCCACCAUACCUACCUAUUAUGGCGUUUCCAUAGCCAUUCCGAGAUACAUUGCCAUGCAACUUUCCACCGUUCCGUUUAUUAUGACACACUCCAUCAUUGUCAUAUUGCUUAGCAUAAUCAUGUAGUUGACAUUGUAUUUGUGGCAAAGCCACCGUUCAUAAUUCUUUCAUAUGUGUCACUCUUGAUUCAUUGCAUAUCCCGGUACACCGCUGGAGGCAUUCAUAUAGAGUCAUAUUUUGUUCGAAGUAUCGAGUUGUAAUUGUUGAGUUGUAAGAAAAAAAAGUGUGAUGAUCAUCAUUAUUAGAGCAUUGUCCUAGUGAGGAAAGGAUGAUGGAGACUAUGAUUCCCCCACAAGUCGGGAUGAGACGCCGGACAAAAAAUAAAGAAAAAAAGGGAAAAAGAAAAGAGGCCAUAAAAAAGAAAAAAGAGAAAAGGCCCAAAUAAAAAAAUGAGAGAAAAAGAGAGAAGGGACAAUGCUACUAACCUUUUACCACACUUGUGCUUCAAAGUAGCACCAUGAUCUUCAUAGUAGAGAGUCUCUCAUGUUAUCACUUUCAUAUAUUAGUGGGAAUUUUUCAUUAUAGAACUUGGCUUGUACUCCCUCCGUUCCUAAAUAUUUGUCUUUUUAGAGGUUUCAAAUGGUGACUACAUACGGAGCAAAAUGAGUGAAUCUACACUCUAAAAAUGUCUAUAUACAUCCGUAUGUGGUGACCAUUUAAAAUCUCUAGAAAGACAAAUAUUUAGGAACGGAGGGAGUAUAUUCCAAUGAUGGGCUUCCUGAAAAUGCCCUAGGUUUUCAUGAGCAAGCAAGUUGUAUGCACACCCACUUAGUUUCUUUUGUUGAGCUUUCAUAUACUUAUAGCUCUAGUGCACCCGUUGCAUGGCAAUCCCUACUCACUCACUUUGAUAUCUAUUGAUGGGCAUCUCCAUAGCCCGUUGAUACGCCUAGUUGAUGUGAGAUUAUCUUCUCGCUUUUUGUCUUCUCCACAACCACCAUUCUAUUCCACCUAUAGUGUUAUGUCCAUGGCUCACGCUCAUGUAUUGCGUGAAAAUUGAAAAAGUUUUGAGAAUGUCAAAAGUAUGAAACAACUGCUUGGCUUGUCAUCGGGGUGCAUGAUUUAAAUAUUUUGUGUACUAAAGAUGGAGCAUAGCCAGACUAUAUGAUUUUGUAGGGAUAACUUUCUUUAGCCAUGUUAUUUUGAGAAGACAUAAUUGCUUUGUUAGUAUGCUUGAAGUAUUAUUAUUUUUAUGUCAAUAUGAACUUUUGUCUUGAAUCUUUCGGAUCUGAAUAUUCAUACCAGAAUUAAGAAGAAUUACAUUAAAAUUAUGCCAAGUAGCACUCCGCAUCAAAAAUUCUGUUUUUAUCAUUUACCUACUCGAGGACGAGCAGGAAUUAAGCUUGGGGAUGCUUUAUACAUCUCCAAUGUAUCUUUAAUUUUUGAUUGCUCCCUGCUAUAUUAUCUACUGUUUUGGACAUUAUUGGGCUUUAUUAUCUACUUUUAUAUUAUUUUUGGGACUAGCCUAUUAACCGGAGGCCCAGCCCAGAAUUGUUGUUUUUUUGCUUGUUUUAGGGUUUCGAAGAAAAGGAAUAUAAAACGUUGUCCAAACGGAAUGAAACCUUCGGGAACGUGAUUUUCUCAAUGAAUAAGACCCAGGAGACUUGGACCCUAUGUCAAGGCACAAGAGAGGAGGCCACGAGGUAGGGGGCACGCCUGCCUACCCCAGGCGCGCCCUCCACCCUCGUGGGCCCCUUGUUGCUCCACCGACGUACUCCUUCCUCCUAUAUAUAUCCACGUACCCCCAAAUGAUCAGAUACGGAGCAAAAACCCUAAUUCCACCAUCG